rnacentral:tRNA from 1 species
UCCCUAGCAGUCCAGUGGUUAAGACUCUGCACUUUCAAUGUAGGGGGCGCAGGUUAAAUCCCUGGUUGGGGAA